GGCUGGUCCGAGUGCAAUGGUGUUUACAGCAAAUUGAUCACAACCAGUUACAGACUGAUUUCUUUGUUACUUCUCUGCUCCCACUGCUUCAAGUCGACUAGUCUUUA
rnacentral:Y_RNA from 1 species